AGUGAACGCUGGCGGUAGGCCUAACACAUGCAAGUCGAACGGCAGAAGAGUAAGAGCUUGCUCGUACGGGUGGCGAGUGGCGGACGGGGGAGGAAUACAUCGGAAUCUACUUUUUCGUGGGGGAUAACGUAGGGAAACUUACGCUAAUACCGCAUACGACCUACGGGUGAAAGCAGGGGAUCUUCGGACCUUGGGCGAUUGAAUGAGCCGAUGUCGGAUUAGCUAGUUGGCGGGGUAAAGGCCCACCAAGGCGACGAUCCGUAGCUGGUCUGAGAGGAUGAUCAGCCCCACUGGAACUGAGACACGGUCCAGACUCCUACGGGAGGCAGCAGUGGGGAAUAUUGGACAAUGGGCGCAAGCCUGAUCCAGCCAUACCGCGUGGGUGAAGAAGGCCUUCGGGUUGUAAAGCCCUUUUGUUGGGAAAGAAAAGCAGCAGGUUAAUACCCCGCUGUUCUGACGUUACCCAAAGAAUAAGCACCGGCUAACUUCGUG
rnacentral:rRNA from 1 species